GGGAGCGCUCCGGUGAGCCCGGCACCGGCUGGGCCCCGACCGUGAGGGGAGCGCUCCGGUGAGCCCGGCACCGGCUGGGCCCCGACCGUGAGGGGAGCGCUCCGGUGAGCCCGGCACCGGCUGGGCCCCGACCGUGAGGGGAGCGCUCCGGUGAGCCCGGCACCGGCUGGGUCCCGACUGUGAGGGGAGCGCUCCGGUGAGCCCGGCACCGGGUGGGCCCCGACCGUGAGGGGAGCGCUCCGGUGAGCCCGGCACCGGCUGAGUCCCGACCGUGAGGGGAGCGCUCCGGUGAGCACUGGACCGGCUUGGCCCCGACCGUGAGGGGAGCGCUCCGGUGAGCCCGGGACCGGCUGGGCCCCGACCGUGAGGGGAGCGCUCCGGUGAGCCCGGGACUGGCUGGGCCCCGGCCGUGAGGGGAGCGCUCCGGUGAGCCCGGGACUGGCUGGGCCCCGGCCGUGAGGGGAGCGCUCCGGUGAGCCCGGGACCGGCUGAGCCCCGGCCGUGAGGGGAGCGCUCCGGUGAGCCCGGGACCGGCUGAGCCCCAGGACCGGCUGAGCCCCGACCGUGAGGGGAGCGCUCCGGUGAGCCCGGGACCGGCUGAGCCCCGGCCUUUCAGGAUGUCCCGGUGCGCUCCGGUGCCAGGGGCUGUGAACUACCAUGGCAGUAGCACACACAUCAGCCAGCCUGCUGCUCCGGAGGGAAUGACAGCUUCUGAGCCAUCCAGCAGGGACUGAGGGUCCCCUGCACACAGAGACAGUCCUGCUCCACCGGGAAGCCAAUGAGCUGAACCUCAAGUCAAAAUUAAAGAGCUCAGGUGCUGGAUCAGGACCUUAUUAAAAGUGAGCAGGUAUCUUCAGCUGCUACUUCUGCUGCCCUGUCAUUGUGGAUUUAUCUACUGCCAGUCUUUGACUAUCUCAAGGAACCAAGCAUCCGUGCUGGUGGCAGCUGAUCAGGAAUUAGAGGGCUUCUUUCCAACAGCUUUACAGGAUACAGAAGAACUGUAGGUGGGACUUAAAUUAGCAAUACAGCAGCAACACCGUCCUUUUGCCACUGAAGAACUGCAAGAACCUUGCUAGCAGCUACAAGGAGCCAAUGUUGGAACCAGCAGCCUUCCUCCCCAGGAACACCCUCAGAGAAUCCAGAGAUCACAGCUUGGAGCACAGAGCUGGUGAGUGGGGACUGCUUCCUCCUGACAUCUGCACUGGGACUCCUUUUUCCACAGCUCACCAUCAACUCAUGCCCUUGGGUUUAGACCUUGCAGAAAUUAAUUGAUUACUGAAUCCCAGUUCAGGAAAAAGGCAGCAAGUGGAUAAGAGAGUUUGGUGAGUUUUUUUAUAAAAAUCAUAAUUAUUAUUAAAAUAUUAAUGUCUGUAUUUAUCUAAUUUUUAAAUUGUUUUGUAUGAAUGUGAUGCACUGAAUACACCAAAGAUGAAAAAGUUGUCCAUAGAUCAAAUGUCUCACAGCUAAAAACAUCUUUCUGAUGACAAACCUAAGUUGACAACUUUGUUAAUAGGAUUAGGUUCAUUAAGGGUCUACUUUCUCUUAUAAAUCUGGCCUGGAUAGCAUGGUGCUUUAGAUUUUGCAUGGCAAAGGGGGGCCCUGCUUAGUCCUGAUUUUCAUGCUUUUACCUAAAACUCUUGCUAGUGAUUGAUACUGGUAAUAUUCAAUGUUUCUAGACCAUACUAGGCUACCUGAAAUUACUUUCAAUUUUCAAAA